rnacentral:tRNA from 1 species
GGGCGCGUGGUGAAGUGGUAUCACAGGAGUCUCCAAAACUCUUGUCGUGGGUUCGAUUCCUACCGCGCCUG